rnacentral:rRNA from 1 species
AUUGAACGCUGGCGGCAGGCCUAACACAUGCAAGUCGAGCGGAUGAAGGGAGCUUGCUCCUGGAUUCAGCGGCGGACGGGUGAGUAAUGCCUAGGAAUCUGCCUGGUAGUGGGGGAUAACGUCCGGAAACGGGCGCUAAUACCGCAUACGUCCUGAGGGAGAAAGUGGGGGAUCUUCGGACCUUACGCUAUCAGAUGAGCCUAGGUCGGAUUAGCUAGUUGGUGGGGUAAAGGCCUACCAAGGCGACGAUCCGUAACUGGUCUGAGAGGAUGAUCAGUCACACUGGAACUGAGACACGGCCCAGACUCCUACGGGAGGCAGCAGUGGGGAAUAUUGGACAAUGGGCGAAAGCCUGAUCCAGCCAUGCCGCGUGUGUGAAGAAGGUCUUCGGAUUGUAAAGCACUUUAAGUUGGGAGGAAGGGCAGUAAGUUAAUACCUUGCUGUUUUGACGUUACCAACAGAAUAAGCACCGGCUAACUUCGUG